rnacentral:rRNA from 1 species
GAUGAACGCUGGCGGCGUGCCUAAUACAUGCAAGUCGAGCGAACAGACGAGGAGCUUGCUCCUCUGACGUUAGCGGCGGACGGGUGAGUAACACGUGGAUAACCUACCUAUAAGACUGGGAUAACUUCGGGGAACCGGAGCUAAUACCGGAUAAUAUAUUGAACCGCAUGGUUCAAUAGUGAAAGACGGUUUUGCUGUCACUUAUAGAUGGAUCCGCGCCGCAUUAGCUAGUUGGUAAGGUAACGGCUUACCAAGGCAACGAUGCGUAGCCGUCCUGAGAGGGUGAUCGGCCACAUGGGAACUGAGACACGUUCCAGACUCCUACGGGAGGCAGCAGUAGGGAAUCUUCCGCAAAGGGCGAAAGCUUGACGGAGCAACGCCGCGUGAGUGAUGAAGGUCUUCGGAUCGUAAAACUCUGUUAUUAGGGAAGAACAAAUGUGUAAGUAACUAUGCACGUCUUGACGGUACCUAAUCAGAAAGCCACGGCUAACUACGUG